rnacentral:rRNA from 1 species
GACGUAGGGGGCGAGCGUUGUCCGGAUUUACUGGGCGUAAAGAGCGCGUAGGCGGCUUGUUAAGUGUGAAGUGAAAUCUCCAGAGCUCAACUCGGAAACUGCUUCGCAUACUGGCAAGCUAGAGGAAUGCAGAGGUAAGUGGAAUUCCAGGUGUAGCGGUGAAAUGCGUAGAUAUCUGGAGGAACACCCAUGGCGAAGGCAGCUUACUGGGCAUUAUCUGACGCUGAGGCGCGAAAGCGUGGGUAGCAAACAGG